AACGAACGCUGGCGGCAUGCCUAACACAUGCAAGUCGAACGAGACCUUCGGGUCUAGUGGCGCACGGGUGCGUAACGCGUGGGAACCUUCCCUUAGGUUCGGAAUAACUCCCCGUAAGGGGUGCUAAUACCGGAUAAUGUCUUCGGACCAAAGAUUUAUCGCCUUUGGAUGGGCCCGCGUUGGAUUAGCUAGUUGGUAGGGUAAAAGCCUACCAAGGCGACGAUCCAUAGCUGGUCUGAGAGGAAGAUCAGCCACACUGGGACUGAGACACGGCCCAGACUACUACGGGAGGCAGCAGUGGGGAAUAUUGGAAAAUGGGCGAAAGCCUGAUCCAGCAAUGCCGCGUGAGUGAUGAAGGCCUUAGGGUUGUAAAGCUCUUUUACCCGGGAUGAUAAUGACAGUACCGGGAGAAUAAGCACCGGCUAACUACGUG
rnacentral:rRNA from 1 species